CAGUAUUUUGGACAUCUGUGUUGCUGAAUCUUUUGUAAUUAGUUAAAAUAAUAAUGGAGACCAUAAAGAAGAAUGCUGUUGGUGGAAAGCGGUGGAUUGCAGCUGCCUUUAGCAACCAAAACACAGCCGGUGUUUCUUUGUUUGUUGUGAAGCUUUAAUAUGGAACAGAGCGGUCAAGCGAACAUGUUUCAUUACCACAUGUCGACCGGCAGGUUUCGGUGAGAAAAUUGUGGUAAUAAGUCGGCUCUUACCGGAGACAUGAGCGGAGCUUGUGUCGUUCUUCCUGCAGCAGCUGCGACUUUCUUGGCUCCUCCAUAGCUUCCAUCAGAGACAUUGGCGGUCACCACACCCCUCCGACUUUCAGGUCCAGGCAGAAGAUGCAGACGUGCUGGUAAUGUUGGCGCACCAUAGCUCAAGCACCAAACACCCACUCUUCUUCACGACAUUGAAGGGCUCUUAUGAUGUCAGGAUUCGAGAAGCUCUCUCUGAAAAACAGAGACGCUACCUGGUCUUUUGUCACGUCUUCACUGGGUGUGAUACAGUCUCUGGUAUCGCUGGCCAUGGGAAACCCACUCUGUUUGACGGGGGACAUAGAUGAACAUAUGGACAUCUUCCUGGACAUACACGCUACCAAGGAUGCAGUGAUUCAGGCUGGUACUGCGAUCUUCCACUACAUCUACCAUGGACCAGGUAGUACUCUGGGUGAAGUUUGAUACAACAUCUUCUCACAUAAGGCAGCGGCUGGGCUGAUCAAACCUCCAACAGAGGGUGCAGCAGCACAGCAUUCACUCCGUGCCUACCAACAGACUCAGGACUGGCUCCUCCUACAGAGCAUGUCUCUGGACCCCAGUGACUAUGGAUGGACAAUAGGUGUUCAUAGUUAUGAGCCAGUUCCAACUCUAGACCCCAUGGCUCCUGAAGAGCUACUCCAGUUCACAAGCUGGAAUUGCCAUGGAAAUUGCAGCAGCCGGCGAUGCAGCUGCAAAAAGAAUAGCGUCAAGUGCAUCUCAGCUUGUGGAGUCUGUCAAGGCAUUACCUGCAAGAAUGCUAUUCAUGAUGAUGGCAUUCAUGAUGAAUACUGACAGGCAGACAUUGACUCAUAAAGCAUUCCACAAGGGGGAUCACUGUUUGCUCUGACUAAUGUGAAACAAAUUGUAAUAAAUGCAACUUUAUGUAAAUGCAAAAAA